AUGAUAUGCCGGCUCAGUCUCUUGGAGGUGCUCAUAGGGGUAGGGUAUCAGCUGAUGGAGCAGCUUGACCAAGAAGCCCAGUCCAGAGCUCACUUGGAGGAGGAGCUUGUCAAGGAGAGGCAGGCCAACGCUCUUUUGCAGGAGCAGCUUCGAAAGAAGAACGAAGAUGAAGCCGCGUACAAGCAGCAGAUAGCAACUCUCACGCAGAGGAAUCAAGCUGAAGCAAAGAAAAGCAAGAGUGACGUGGCCAAGCUCCAAGACGAGAUAAGGAAGCUCACUGGUGUUCUUAAGGCUAGGCAUGAGGAAGACAAGCUGAGCUGGGAGCGCAUUCAAGGCGUCUUGAAGGCUUGGGAUGAUCGCAAAGCUGCUCGUGAAGCUUCAACUUCUUCUGGUGUCUAUGACAUACUGGAUUACUUCUUGGUCUAUUUUUCAGACAAAGGACCAAGCAAGAAGAAUGCUGGAGCUGGGGUCAAGACUUCUCGAACAGGUGGCAAUUCUCAUGACUUGUAG
rnacentral:rRNA from 1 species